UUAUGAUGGUCUGCCCUGGUCACCUGGCAGAAUGCACUUGAAAGACCCCCAGAGUGGGGAGACCCUCACUCAAGUCUCGGGAUAAGCCGAAGCCCCAAUAAUUCAAGAGAGACU
rnacentral:pre_miRNA from 11 species